UGAGGAAUAUUGGUCAAUGGGCGGGAGCCUGAACCAGCCAAGUCGCGUGAGGGAAGACGGCCCUAUGGAUUGUAAACCUCUUUUGUCGGGAGCAAGAAGGUAUGUAUACCUACUGAGAGUACCCGAAGAAAAGCAAUCGGCUAACUCCGUGCCAGCAGCCGCGGUAAUACGGAGGAUGCGAGCGUUAUCCGGAUUUAUUGGGUUUAAAGGGUGCGCAGGCGGACUGUUAAGUCAGCGGUAAAAUUGCGGGGCUCAACCUCGCCGAGCCGUUGAAACUGGGUAGACUCGAGUGGCGAGAAGUACGCGGAAUGCGUGGUGUAGCGGUGAAAUGCAUAGAUAUCGCGCAGAACUCCGAUUGCGAAGGCAGCGUACCGGCGCCCAGCUGACGCUGAAGCACGAAGCGUGGGUAUCGAAACA
rnacentral:rRNA from 1 species